GAGCGUUCCGCAACGGUGUGAAGCACUAGCGACAAGCAGGUGUGGACUGUGCGGAAGUGAGAAUGUCGGCUUGGGUAGCGCAAAUGUAGGUGAGAAUCCUACACCCCGAAACCCUAAGGGUUCCUCCGCCAGGCUCGUCCGCGGAGGGUGAGUCAGGUCCUAAGGCGAGGCAGAAGUGCGUAGUCGAUGGAUAACGGGUCAAUAUUCCCGCACUGUAGAAUUCGCGGCCGCGUCGACGGGCGGAGAAGGCAAUCGCCAGCCGGAUGUUGGUUACCGGUUCAAGUAUUCGAGGUGUUGAGAGACGGAGAAAACGUCUUGAGCUGAGGUACGAAUACGACCUCCUACGGGAGGGAAGUGGUAGAUGUCAGGCUUCCCAGAAAAGCUCUAAACACCAUAAACAAUGUCAACCUGUACCCGAAACCGACACAGGUAGGGAGGUAGAGUAUACCAAGGGGCGCGAGAUAACUCUCUCUAAGGAACUCGGCAAAAUGGCCCCGUAACUUC
rnacentral:sRNA from 1 species